UUGGAAUUUAUGUUUGCAAGCUUUAACAAAUAUACACAAUGAUGCCAAAAACAGAAAGAGACUUUAUGGUUUGCGAUUAAGAACGACAAAUGAGUUGGUUCCUUUCUUGGAUAUAUUUCGGUUAUGGUGGGAAAGAAUACUUCUAGUUUCUCGCGGUACAAAUCAAAGAGCUCUUACAUGGUAUCAUCUCCACAGUGCUGCUUCAGAAUUCCCUCCAUGCCAGCCCACGUAUGAGAUGCUAAUUGAUACGUACUAAUAUGAGCUCCUUUUACGGAAGAUAAUGGAGGUAAGAUUUCAAUUUUCUCUAUGCUAAAAUAUCCAUUUCGUUUCACAGCAGCUUACAAUUCUAUGGGAUACAUACAAUAAAUUGAUAUGUUAAAGAGGAAUCCACUUUCUCUAAGCAAACUUUUUCCUGCAUUUAAGGGAAGGAGAAUAUUUCAAAGUACACAUACAUUAGUUAACGCAAUAAUAAUUUUUAAUUUCAAAAACAUAUGAUGAUUUAAAGGUUAAAUAUUUUUUAUAUAUAUUGUCAGCUUAAAUUAUUAUUCAGUUUGUAUUCAACUUUCCAAACUAUAGAAAGUUUCAUAUUACCUUUUAAAUUAUUGUUUUUUGUUACUUUACUUCAAUUAUGCAUUUUCAGUGGGUAAACUAGAUAAAAUUAACCACAUGCAUAACUCAUAUAACUCUUUUGGUAAAUUACUUUAUUAUGUACUAUUUCAUUUUUUACAUGUGUAUACAGCUAACUUUGCCGCCGCCGCCGCCGCCCCCCGCCCCGCGGCGGCGGGGCAAAAAAAAUAAAUAAAAAAACCUUUGAUUAUAAAUUGAAAAGGGAAAAUAUAAAAGAUUUAAGGGUGUUUUAGUAAAUUAACUUCAAGUGGCAUUACAUAAAGUCCUUUUGGAAUUGCAUAAAGAACUAUUAGUUUUUUUUCUUGUCAUUAAGUGCAAGCUAUUUGGCAGUAUAUUGGCUCUUUGUUUGGUAUUGAUUUUGUUAGGAAAUCGAAGUAUAGAAUGGACAAUUGCAACUAAAGUUGAGAUUAUAAAAUAAGAAAUUUGUGUGUAAAAUAUUCAAAUAAAAUACACACAAAAUAAUUGACAAUUGUAGAAGGAUUUUAUUAUAGCAAAAGAAUAAAAUAAUUUCUCUCUAAAAUAAGAAGAACACAAUUGACAAUACCAUCUCUCUUAUAAUAGGAGAAAAACACACACUCUCUCUAACAAAGGAAAGACACAAAUAUUAAGGAGAAAAUCCCGUUAUAAUUCUCUCUGUAAUACUCUCCUCUUUCUCUUUGUUUUCUAUGUUUCUCUCACACCUCAAAAUGGAACUAAUUUUACAAGGAAGGGAAAUACAUAUAUAUAGAUGAACAAUGGCGGUAGAAAGAGACGGUAGAGGUUGUAAAAUUCAAAUUGAGCUCCUUUGCUAGCUGUAGUCGUGCCACCUAUAUGUGCAAGCUUUGCAUUCAUUAUUUGCCACCUAUAUGUGCAAGUUGUCAACACAGCUAGAAAACUCUACAUCCUUCCAUCUCCUUUAACUUAGUCAACAUCUUAAUUAAGAAGCAAUACCCAAAAGUGGCUUUACUUGCCACCACAUAUUUCCCACUUAAAGUCACUUUUGCUAUAACCCUUCUAUCCUUUCUACUUGCCAUUUCAUUUCCAUGCUUGCUUAUGUUUUUGCUAGGCCAAUAGAGGAUCUACACCAUAUAAACUAGUUAGUGCUAAUUGGCUUUAUCAAAAUAUCUGAUAGAUUGUCUCUAGUAUGGAUUUUCUAUAGAUCCACACUUCCUUCUUCCACCUUCUCACGAACAAAAUGAAAUGGAACUCGUAAAACUUUCUGCCUUGCUUGGCUUUUUUAUUAGAAGAGCUAUAAUUUAAAAGUUGAUUGAUUGCAAAUGGGCACUAAGAAGAACUAAAUUCAUGAUCUUAUAUUGCUUCGCAAUCAUGGAGCAACUCCCAAGUUUCCUCAAAACUUCAAGUAUAAUUCCUUUUCACACGAAUCUUCCAAAUUUUGGAUGGAUUAAAGUUAAUAAAGAUGGAAUAGAUCUUGGUGCUCCUACUGCUGUGGGUAAUAGAGGAUUGUUUCGAUGUUGUAGGGGCCUUGUUCAAGGGUGCUUUAUGUAUUUAAUUCGGUGGAAGAUAUUAUUUCAAAGGGAGCUCUUGGUGUCAUGAACAAUGGAUGGCAUCCUCAUUUGCCUACUAGAUAUUUAGUAGCUCAUCAGAAGGAUAUUUUGGGUGGAAGAGCUUUUCGUUUAUGCAAUUAAGACAUAGUCCAGUUUGCCCUUUUGCAAGUUCUUGCUCUUUUUAUUAUAUUAAUUUCUAUGUAUGAUUGGAGUUUUGUUUAUGGUUUUGGUAUUUUUAGUGGAUGGUUCCUUUGAUACUCGUUUUCCUUUUUAAGGUUUUUCCAUUGGGAUUUUCUUCUUGCAAGUUUUAACGAGGCCAAGGAAGGUUGUAAGCUGGAACUGCCUAGUCCAUGAUAAACUUAUUUCUGUAUUUUUUUUUUUUUUUUGUAAUUCAAUUUAAUUUUUUUUAUCUGAGUUUUGGAUUUUGGAGAUACCAA